AUCCAAGGGAACUCCCUCUCCAAGGGAACACGCAGUACCCCUCUCAGGAAAGUACUAACUUAAAAUAGAAUCUAGCAUGCCUAAGGUCUUUGGGGAACAGGAGAUGCUUAUUUCCUCUGCCUUCCUUGGCUGCCUACAUGG
rnacentral:snoRNA from 1 species